CUCUCUGGUUUCUCCCUAUAAUAUUCAAGUGACUGAAUCUUCAAACCUGUUGGCCAAUUUCCCAAAAUCCAGACUCUAUUCCACUAUCCUCCAAUUUAGGAAUUAUUUUAGGAUUAGGGAAACCUCAAACCCUCUCUCCCCUCAACUCCCCUACUUUCCCCCUUAUCCUAAAAAAAACCCCUUAUUUAAAGUUAUCAAAGAGAGAGUUUCUGUCUGUUAUAUCAAGAUACUCACUUAAAGCAGACUUCCAGUGAUACCAACUGUAGACUAAUUGAUGGGGAAGGGAGGAGGGAGGUAGAAGAGGGAGGAUGGAAGGAAGGGAGGAGGUUGGCAGAUCUGACCUUUAAUUCAUCAUCUCCCUCUCAGAGUUAUUCCCUAAUAUACCUGGCAACUUUCAGAUCGUACUGCUCAAAGAUUAACUUUCUAUCCUUUCAGCUCCUCCCUAAGUGCUGUUUGGUACAAGAUACCUCAAGACUAUACAUUUCAGAGGAGGUACUGACAUAUAUUGUACUUUUUCCACUUAGCUUCAAUGCCAUCUGAUCCCUUAAUGCUCAUAAACCAACCACUCCACUUUGAUACAUGGCCUUGACUGCUGGCAAUCAUCACAGUGACUCACAAAGAAAAACAACACUUGGCUUCAUUGACCUUAAUCCAGCAUCCUCCUGGACAGAAGAAUUAGUCAGGAAGACAGAUUUAAGACAGUAGUCUUUGACUCUGGCCACAGGACCCUGGACAAAUCACUUGAAUUUUUUUGUUACCAUUUAAAAAUAUGUAACAUAACAAUAAUAAACAUAUAUGAUUUAUUAUAAAUAUAUAAUAAAUUAUAAUGAAUAUGUUUAUCCAAGAGAAACAAAUUCUUAUAUUAGCUAUGUCCAAAAAUGUAUGUCUCAUUCUUUUUAUUCUCUUCUCCCUCCCAUCCCUCCUACCUCCCAAAGAAGGCAGGUGAUAAGCAGUAUUAUAGUAUCCAUUUUGAUCUUAUCUUAGUAAUAAAAGAUGUAAGAUAUUGUUCUAUAUAAAUUUUCUGUCACAUUUCUUUCAAUUUUUCCAAUAAUUUUUACCAAAU